CUCUACGGCCAUUCCACCCUGAACGCCCGAUCUCGUCUGAUCUCGGAAGCUAAGCAGGGUCAGGCCUGGUUAGUACUUGGAUGGGAGAACUGUAUAGC
rnacentral:rRNA from 1 species